GAAGAUGCGGAAGGCAAACAAAUACAAAGGGUACAGCAAGUAACAACAGAGUGGCAGAUCCGCAAAGCGCAAACGUGAAGAGACAGGGAGAGUGGGAAGAUAGAGUCGCUGGAACGGCUGGGCAAAACAUUGGUUAUGCUGCGGGUAGCGAUUGUCAACAUGUCCAACAUGUGUGCCUGGUUUCAGGUUAUGUUUUGAGGAAUAAAAGUUAAUAAAAGGUUCCAUGAUUUCUUUUUCCAUGUUGUUAAAAAGAACGGUUACGUCCAGCUGCAUAAGUCAGCCUGGCGUAUCAUGGGAACUUGCUUCGGAAAAUGCCCGAGUACGGAAAGUUCGAAAAGGUAUACAAACCUUCUUGAGUUUUUACCUUAGUAUUAUUAUUAAAUGUUGACGAGAAGUCAUCAGUUGAUUCUGUUGGUUUAUUUUGGAGUAUCAGUCGAACAUUAUAUUUAUCUUUAAGAUUGUAAAUGCCACUCUAUUAACGGCAUUAUUGGGCAGUUAUUACCCGCAAAGCGAAAACAUUGAAUAAGCAUAUUAUAGAUGUGUGGUUGUAUUAUGUCGAAUUUUGAAAGAACUGUAGAUAAAAAUGGUGUAUUGUCAGUGAAAGUGUGUUGUUGAACAUUUGAUACAGCCUUCAAACACAUUUCAUUUUAGUAAGAAUAGCUGUAACAUCACAAGCCCAAACUGUUGUGGAUAGUCACUGAAGCAUUUUGGAUUAAGACAAAACAUUCACCACCAACUAAAGAGAAAACAAAUAACAUAGAAGUGCAAUAAAUAUACUGUCAAAAUUACCAUAGAUAGACAGUUUUAACAUUAUACAGAGUUCACACUGCAAAACACUGAGUAUCAUUAAAUGUAGUUUGUCAAGCAGACUACAGUGUUUUCUUUUUCUCCACCAGUUGUCAAAACAAUCUGCUUACUGUAUACAGUCGUAGUACAACAAUGAAGAGAGCAUAUCAGAUUGAAAGGUCAAAAUACAGCAAGGCAGAAGGGAAUGUUGAGAUUGAAAGAGUUUCUGAUGAAAGACGUGUAUUCAAAAGGUUGCCCAGCAUUUCAAUUUUUGAAAAAUAGUAAGAGGGGCAGAUAUGUUCCACUGGACAUCAAAUGGUCCAUUAUAUGAUCACCGAGAGGAAGCUAAGUGGCCACACUGGUCAGCAAGCAGGUUAUUCUUGAGUUAACUGAUGAUACAUGGACAAGAGCAGAUGAAUAUCAGAGAAGUGAAGAAUCUGGACGAACAAGUGGUGUAAG